CCUACGGGGUGGCUGCAGUGGGGAAUAUUGGACAAUGGGGGCAACCCUGAUCCAGCCAUGCCGCGUGUGUGAAGAAGGCCCUCGGGUUGUAAAGCACUUUCAGUGAGGAAGAACGCCUGGUGGUUAAUACCCAUCAGGAAAGACAUCACUCACAGAAGAAGCACCGGCUAACUCCGUGCCAGCAGCCGCGGUAAUACGGAGGGUGCGAGCGUUAAUCGGAAUUACUGGGCGUAAAGCGCGCGUAGGUGGCUUGAUAAGCCGGUUGUGAAAGCCCCGGGCUCAACCUGGGAACGGCAUCCGGAACUGUCAAGCUAGAGUGCAGGAGAGGAAGGUAGAAUUCCCGGUGUAGCGGUGAAAUGCGUAGAGAUCGGGAGGAAUACCAGUGGCGAAGGCGGCCUUCUGGACUGACACUGACACUGAGGUGCGAAAGCGUGGGUAGCAAACAGGAUUAGAUACCCUUGUAGUC
rnacentral:rRNA from 1 species